UACGUAGGUGGCAAGCGUUGUCCGGAAUUAUUGGGCGUAAAGCGCGCGCAGGCGGUCCUUUAAGUCUGAUGUGAAAGCCCACGGCUCAACCGUGGAGGGUCAUUGGAAACUGGGGGACUUGAGUGCAGAAGAGGAAAGUGGAAUUCCACGUGUAGCGGUGAAAUGCGUAGAGAUGUGGAGGAACACCAGUGGCGAAGGCGGCUCACUGGUCCGGUACUGACGCUGAGGUGCGAAAGCGUGGGGAGCAAACAGG
rnacentral:rRNA from 1 species